rnacentral:lncRNA from 1 species
CUGCUGCAUAAUCUUGGGGAACUCUGAAAGGAGGACCUUUCGACCAGCUUCAUCUAGGAUCUUAUCAAGCAUUAUAUCCUGAAGAGCUAUUAGAGUGGUUUCAAGCAUGUCAAGUCCUGCUUGGUUUGCAAAUGAAAAAAAUGCAGAAUCCUGCAUUAAGUAGAUAAACCAUUUAGCUAUCAUCAGAUUUCCCUUGAAAAGGAAUCGUGGAGAAACCUUUCUUAUCAGAAAAGCAUAGCGUCGAAACAACAUGUGCUGAUGUUACUGACAUUCAUUUUGACGGAGCAGCACAUUAUUGAAUCAGUAUGAUGCCAUAGUUGCUUCAGAACAGC